UACGAAGGGGGCUAGCGUUGCUCGGAAUUACUGGGCGUAAAGCGCACGUAGGCGGUCUUUUAAGUCGGGGGUGAAAUCCUGGAGCUCAACUCCAGAACUGCCUUCGAUACUGGAAGACUCGAGUCCGGGAGAGGUGAGUGGAACUGCGAGUGUAGAGGUGAAAUUCGUAGAUAUUCGCAAGAACACCAGUGGCGAAGGCGGCCCACUGGCCCGAUACUGACGCUGAUGCACGAAAGCGUGGGGAGCAAACAGG
rnacentral:rRNA from 1 species